rnacentral:lncRNA from 1 species
UUUCUAUUGAGGUUUUUCCUUCUUCUUUUUCUCUUUAUCAGACAGAGUUCUUUUUAUCUUCAAAAGUCCAACGCCAUUGCUGACCAUACCCUUUUGGCCACUUCACACCCCUAUUGCAGAUUAGUUUAUUUUAUUUUUUUCUUUUUUUUUCUUUUAAUUAUUUUUCUCACCUUUGUUUACACAUUUAAUAAAUACAUUAAAAGUACAUUUUCUACACAUUGAAAAUACUAAAAAUAAAGUAGUUCUUGAAUUAGACUUGGAUUAG